rnacentral:rRNA from 1 species
AGUGAACGCUGGCGGUAGGCCUAACACAUGCAAGUCGAACGGCAGCACAGUAAGAGCUUGCUCUUACGGGUGGCGAGUGGCGGACGGGUGAGGAAUACAUCGGAAUCUACUUUUUCGAGGGGGCUAACGUAGGGAAACUUACGCUAAUACCGCAUACGACCUACGGGUGAAAGCAGGGGAUCUUCGGACCUUGCGUGAUUGAAUGAGCCGAGGUCGGAUUAGCUAGUUGGUGGGGUAAAGGCCCACCAAGGCGACGAUCCGUAGCUGGUCUGAGAGGAUGGUCAGCCACACUGGAACUGAGACACGGUCCAGACUCCUACGGGAGGCAGCAGUGGGGAAUAUUGGACAAUGGGCGCAAGCCUGAUCCAGCCAUACCGCGUGGGUGAAGAAGGCCUUCGGGUUGUAAAGCCCUUUUGUUGGGAAAGAAAAGCAGCAGGUUAAUACCCCGCUGUUCUGACGGUACCCAAAGAAUAAGCACCGGCUAACUUCGUG